rnacentral:rRNA from 1 species
GAAAAGAAACCAACAGGGAUUGCCUCAGUAACGGCGAGUGAAGCGGCAACAGCUCAAAUUUGAAAUCUGGCCCUUUCAGGGUCCGAGUUGUAAUUUGCAGAGGGUGCUUUGGUGUCGGCCGUGGUCUAAGUUCCUUGGAACAGGACGUCACAGAGGGUGAGAAUCCCGUACGUGGCCGCCGGUCUUCACCGUGUAAAGCCCCUUCGACGAGUCGAGUUGUUUGGGAAUGCAGCUCUAAAUGGGAGAUACAUUUCUUCUAAAGCUAAAUAUUGGCCAGAGACCGAUAGCGCACAAGUAGAGUGAUCGAAAGAUGAAAAGCACUUUGGAAAGAGAGUCAAAAAGCACGUGAAAUUGUUGAAAGGGAAGCGCUUGCAGCCAGACGUGCCCGCAGUUGCUCACCUGGGCUCUCGCCCGGGGCAUUCUUCUGCGGGCAGGCCAGCAUCAGUUCGGGCGGUUGGAUAAAGGCCUCUAUCACGUAUCUUCCUUCGGGAUGACCUUAUAGGGGAGGCGCAACACGACCAGCCUGAACUGAGGACCGCGCAUCAGCUAGGAUGCUGGCGUAAUGGCUGUAAGCGGCC